GACGAACGCUGGCGGCGUGCCUAAUACAUGCAAGUCGAGCGAAGCGGCGGUUGGGUGAGUAACGCGUGGGUAAGCUGGCCUUAAGUUUGGGAUACCAGUUGGAACCAGAUGACAAUACCGGAUACUUAAGGAUUGACCUGGGAUGCAUUACCUCGUUGGUAAGGUAACGGCGUACCAAGGGGAUGAUGCAUAGCCGAGUUGAGAGACGGAUCGGCCACAUUGGGACGGAGACACGGCCCAAACUCCUACGGGAGGCAGCAGUAGGGAAUCUUCCACAAUGGACGAAAGUCGGAUGGAGCAACGCCGCGUGUGUGAAGAAGGUUUUCGGAUCGUAAAGCUCUGUUGUUGGGGAAGCGGUAAUCAACCAGAAAGUCACGGCUAACUACGUGCCAGCAGCCGCGGUAAUUC
rnacentral:rRNA from 1 species